rnacentral:lncRNA from 12 species
CCAGACAAAAAGAGCCCAUGUCUACCACAGGCCUCUCUCCNNNNNNNNNNGGCCAGGGCACAUGUCCCCAGCCAGGGCCCCAGCUUUUAUUCUGAGCGGAGCCUGGGGAGGGAGGGAGGGAGGGAGGGAGGGAGGGAGGGAGGGAGGCAGGGAGGGAGGGGAGCCUCCCCAGGCAGCCACGAGAGACCUUCCCAGGUGGGUUAGGGGUGAGCAGGGACCCCAAGGCAAGGGGACCCAUUUCCAGAGGCGGACAGGGAAGGCUGAGGCUGGGGCCACCCUCUGAUUGCUCAAUGGGACGAGGGGGACCGUGGUGGCUGGCAGAGGGCCCCAUCCCGCUGGAACCCAAAGGUCACCCGUCUGGGCGUUCUCCCUGCAAUCCCGCAGAAACCAGGGCACCGCUGUGUCACAGCCCGUCAUUUCCUGGCCAGUGCGCGGUGGCUCUGCGGCCCCUCCUGGAUCCCCUGCAAAGCUGUGGCCACGCAGACCUUCUCCUUCAUCUUUCUCUGGCUCCCGGUCACCGCCAGCCCUUCCCACAAGCUGCUUCUUGCGUCUGGAGGAUCUUUGCUUUCACUGACGCCAGUCUGGCUUUGGGUCUCUGCCCUAAUGCUCUACGUGUAACUAAGCAACAUGCGUCUGUGGCACCACGUUCAAACAAGGUGUAAAGUAAGAAGAAAAGUUCAUAUUCGCCAGACACAGCGCCUCAGCCUGCCCUGAAUUCCCGGAAUGCACCUUUCAUCAGACCCCCUGACCUCCCGGGGUCACGCCUGCAGGUUGGGGGAGGAGUUUGCCCCCCCACCCGUGUCCACCCACGGGCCACAGAGCUAGGGGCUCGGGGUGGGGGGUGAGUGUGGGCGGGGGCCUGGGAGGGCCGAGCCCGUCCGCAGUGUUGUUAAACGCCGGCCACCUCCCUCCCUGUGCAUCCUGGGGACACCGCCCCCCAUGGCAACCCACUCCCUGUUGAGGGCUGGUGCUGCCCCCGGUCACGGCCUCUACCCUGUGACCUUGGGUACAGACAUCGAGAAGGACGGGGUGACUCUCCAACACGUCUUCCAAAACAGAAGCGACAGAGCCACUGCCAUCCUGGUUUCCGAGGAGCUGCUUGGUGAGCGGCGGACACCCCCCAACCCCCCAGCGCCGGCACCCACCCUGCCCUCUGUGCCCGCAGCCCCGGCGGCCCCAGCCCCGGCAACCAGCACACGACUCGCUGUCUGUCUGGACGCUUCGUGGGAAUGGGGCGCACAGGACGCCCCCAUGGCGGGCUUCUUUCAUUUAGGUGCGUCCUCGAGGUCCGUCUGCGUUGUGGCGUCUAUCAGAAGUUCAUUCCUUGUUAUGGCCAAAUAAUAAUAUACCUGUUGUGCGGCUGGACCGUUUUUGUUCAUCCAUUUCUCAACUGAUGGACAUUUAGGUUGUUCCCACUUUCUGGCCACUAGGAAUAGUGCUGCCGUGAGCACUCAGGGUCGAGACUGCUGUGUGGAUGUUUGCUUUGACUGGUCUCAGGUGGGCACCUGGGGCGGAAUUUCUGGGUCAUAUGGUAGCUCUAUGUUUGAUCACCUGAAGCCCCUCCAGGCUGUUUUCCGUCUGACACUCCCUCCAGUAGGAGGCUUUCAACUCUCCAUAUUCCUACCCACCAACACUCACCAACUUACCAACACCCUCCAACACCCACCAGCAUCCACAACACCCACCAACACCCACCAGCAUCCACAACACCCAUCAACACCCACCAACACCCACCAGCACCCGCCAACACCCCCCACAUGUGGUAUCGUCUGGCUUUUCAUUCCAGCUAUUCUAUGGGCGUGAAGUAGAA